rnacentral:rRNA from 1 species
UACGAAGGGGGCUAGCGUUGUUCGGAUUUACUGGGCGUAAAGCGCACGUAGGCGGGUUGUUAAGUCAGGGGUGAAAUCCUGGAGCUCAACUCCAGAACUGCCUUUGAUACUGGCAACCUAGAGGCUGGAAGAGGUUAGUGGAAUUCCCAGUGUAGAGGUGAAAUUCGUAGAUAUUGGGAAGAACACCAGUGGCGAAGGCGGCUCACUGGUCCGGUACUGACGCUGAGGUGCGAAAGCGUGGGGAGCAAACAGG